AUUGAACGCUGGCGGCAUGCUUUACACAUGCAAGUCGAACGGCAGCGCGGGCUUCGGCCUGGCGGCGAGUGGCGAACGGGUGAGUAAUACAUCGGAAAGUGCCCCGUAGUGGGGGAUAGCUCGGCGAAAGCCGGAUUAAUACCGCCUACGACCUGAGGGUGAAAGCGGGGGAUCUUCGGACCUCGCGCUAUUGGAGCGGCCGAUGGCAGAUUAGCUAGUUGGUGGGGUAAAGGCCUACCAAGGCGACGAUCUGUAGCUGGUCUGAGAGGACGACCAGCCACACUGGGACUGAGACACGGCCCAGACUCCUACGGGAGGCAGCAGUGGGGAAUGUUGGACAAUGGGCGAAAGCCUGAUCCAGCAAUGCCGCAUGUGUGAUGAAGGCCUUCGGGUUGUAAAGCACUUUUGGCGGGAACGAAAAGGACUGUGCCAAUACCACGGUUCGAUGACGGUACCCGCAGAAUAAGCACCGGCUAACUACGUG
rnacentral:rRNA from 1 species